CCCUUAGAUGUUCUGGGCCGCACGCGCGCUACACUGACGAAUGCAACGAGCUUAUAACCUUGUCCGAAAGGUCUGGGUAAUCUCCAAAUUUCGUCGUGAUGGGGAUAGAUUAUUGCAAUUAUUAAUCUUCAACGAGGAAUGCCUAGUAAGCGCAAGUCAUCAGCUUGCAUUGAUUACGUCCCUGCCCUUUGUACACACCGCCCGUCGCACCUACCGAUUGAAUGGUCCGGUGAAAUCUCGGGACGGCGGCUUGGUCGCUUGCGUCCGACUGCUGAAACUUGAUUAAACCAUAUCAUUUAGAGGAAGGUGAAGUCGUANCA
rnacentral:rRNA from 1 species